CCGUAGCUGGUCUGAGAGGAUGAUCAGCCACACUGGAACUGAGACACGGUCCAGACUCCUACGGGAGGCAGCAGUGGGGAAUAUUGGACAAUGGGCGCAAGCCUGAUCCAGCCAUACCGCGUGGGUGAAGAAGGCCUUCGGGUUGUAAAGCCCUUUUGUUGGGAAAGAAAAGCAGUCGAUUAAUACUCGGUUGUUCUGACGGUACCCAAAGAAUAAGCACCGGCUAACUUCGUGCCAGCAGCCGCGGUAAUACGAAGGGUGCAAGCGUUACUCGGAAUUACUGGGCGUAAAGCGUGCGUAGGUGGUUGUUUAAGUCUGUUGUGAAAGCCCUGGGCUCAACCUGGGAAUUGCAGUGGAUACUGGGCGACUAGAGUGUGGUAGAGGGUAGUGGAAUUCCCGGUGUAGCAGUGAAAUGCGUAGAGAUCGGGA
rnacentral:rRNA from 1 species